CCGGAAUCGAUUCCGGAAUCGGUUCCGGAUUUGGUUCCGGAAUUGGUUCCGGAAUCGGCUCCGGAAUUGGUUCCAGAAUCGGCUUCGGAAUUGGUUCCG
rnacentral:pre_miRNA from 1 species